AACGUAGGGUGCGAGCGUUGCCCGGAUUUACUGGGCGUAAAGCGCGCGUAGGCGGCUGCGAAAGUGGGGAAUUAAAGCCCUCGGCUCAACCGAGGACAUGCUCCUCAAACUGUGCGUCUUGAGUGUAGGAGAGGGGAGUGGAAUUCCCGGUGUAGCGGUGAAAUGCGUUGAUAUCGGGAGGAACACCGGUGGCGAAGGCGGCUCCCUGGCCUACCACUGACGCUGAGGCGCGAAAGCGUGGGGAGCGAACGGG
rnacentral:rRNA from 1 species